rnacentral:misc_RNA from 1 species
AAUAUCUCACAUCGUGCCAGGUUGACCAUGUCGUGUAUAACAACGUGUGUCUCCAGGAAUGCAUGUGGAAGUGGAGGCUCGUGCUGGAGAAAAAAGGGACCCCCCUUGUUUCAGCUCCUCUGAAAAUCAUUAGCACCGAUGUUACCAUAGUGCUGCUGUCCCUCAGUGUGAUAAUCAUGUCUGCGCUGUGGGUCGUGGUGCUGCUGUGUGUGUGCUUCUAAUGGUCCCCCUUUUGUAUGGGACAACAAACAGUUUCCUGUUUGAC